rnacentral:rRNA from 1 species
GACGAACGCUGGCGGCGUGCUUAACACAUGCAAGUCGAGCGGAGCGGCGAACGGGUGAGUAACGCGUGAGUAACUGCCCCCCUCUCUGGGAUAACAGUUGGAAACGGCUGCUAAUACCGGAUAGUGGGGGAUGACUCGCGUCCUAUCAGCUUGUUGGUGGGGUAGUGGCAUACCAAGGCGACGACGGGUAGCCGACCUGCGAAGGGGACCGGCCACAUGAGGCUACGAUACGGACCAGGCGCGAACGGGAGGCAGCAGUGGGGAGUAUUGCACAGUGAGGGAGACCCUGAUGCAGCGACGCCGCGGUCGGGAAGCCGGCCUUCGGGUGAUAAAGCGGUUACAGCCAUGAAGCGGUAGUGGCAGAAGAAGCACCGGCUAACUACGUGCCAGCAGCCGCGGUAAUAC